GGAUGAGAUGGACCGACCAGGAGUGCUUCCUGGUGGCCACGAAGGAAACAGCAGAAAGCGGCACAGACAACUGCAAUCGUGAUGCGUAAACCGUAGAUUUGGUUCUAUUCUAUUGAAAUGUCGCGCAAUGUUUUCAUUGACUAUCUUGAAUGGAUGAACGUUAUUCAAUUUGCAUGAUUUGUGGCGGUCGCGUUUUCUAGUCUAUUUCUUCCGCUGCCGUUUCUGCACGGCCCCAUUUCACAAACGGACGAGUACAAGUUGCCGCGGCAGCAGCAACAACAGCAACAACAACAACAACAACAACAACAACAACAACAGCGCGGCGGACUUUUCCCGACCCGCAGUGGCAACUUGCUAUUUCUGUGCGCCCCCUGCUGGAUACACUCGGCAACACAGAUUCCCUCGCCCCAGAGCCAAAAGCAGACAAACCGGCAGAACGUGACGGCGAGCGGGGCAGGGCGUCGUCCGCCAUGGACACAUGACAGACAACCGACUGGUGACAACCGCCAAAGUAUGUCGAACAACGCCAAUGGUGAUAUCAUCUAUCCGCCAAACAAAUCAAAAACGUUGCCGCUGCCGGGCGCCCGACCGAUGACUCACAUCUCCCGCCAGCUUCUUGAAGGCUCGGCGAAAGGCUUUCUCCUCAUCGUUUUCGUGGGCCUCCUCGAACGCCAGAGGUCUGCGAGGCGGGGGCUGCAAGGCGAGCACAGAGGAGUCGCUGUUAGGCGGCACAAAAGCGCUAGCGAGUGUGCCAAGCGCGGCCUUGGCGAGAGAGCCGACGUCUUUCCCAUCUGGAGAGACGGCGGCUUCAUCGCUGGCUUGAGCGCGCCUCCAUUUCAAAACAUCCCAUCUCCGAGCGAGCGAGCGAGCGAGCGAGCGAGCGAUCAUCCCUCCGCCUCCUUUUCUUAAAAUGGCUUUCAUCCGGUCCAGAAAAACAACAACAACGGCACUUUUGUGUUUGACCGAGCGAGGAAAAGAAAACUCUGGGAGAUGGAAGUACAUUUUCCAUUCGGGAACGUGGCCUUCAUUCCCACACGAGCGAUUGAAGACAUCAUCUUUGUGUUUUCGAGCAAUGCUGGAAUUGCUCAACGCAUCUUGGCGGUGGGUGGGCGGCAUUUUUGAGCCACGGGGGUCGGCAUUUGGUUGACACCUUUGCAAUUUGAAUUCAACUCCAAAAGAAAACAAAGGCCUACAGAGUGAAAUGAAAUCCAUUUGGCAGCCGCACUCAGACGCACUUACUGGAGCCGACGGGACAAAGAUGGCCGGAUCGAUGUUGCUGCGGGAGCCGGGAGAAGAAGGCGGGCGGCUGUUAGCCUAACUUUCAGCACAAUGGCGGCUAACUGGACCGACCGGUUGGACGGGAUUCUCACCUGACCACGUUCAGAAUGCCGCCGAUGAAGUGCUUGGCGAAAUUCAUUUUCUGAAAGAAAAAAGAACACAGCACAAACAUCAACUUGAUUGUUUCCACGAGGAAUAUGCAGCUGGUUGGCUAAAAUGUCACCAAUUUGACUAUCUCAGUUGUUAACAUGUCGCCGCCGCCGGCUUGUGGUUAUUGCGGCCGCUUUGAGCAGAUUAUCGUCGCACAGAACAUGUUCAUGGCACUGAUGACGUUCAUCGUUGUUUGAGACCAAGAUUUGGACAGCACGUCUGACAACCAUCGAGCCAUAAUCAAAA